rnacentral:rRNA from 1 species
UAGGGAAUAUUGGACAAUGGGCGAAAGCCUGAUCCAGCAACGCCGCGUGCGCGAUGACGGCCUUCGGGUUGUAAAGCGCUUUUAGAGGAGAUGAGAAAGGACAGUAUCCUCUGAAUAAGCCUCGGCGAACUACGUGCCAGCAGCCGCGGUAAAACGUAGGAGGCUAGCGUUAUCCGGAUUUAUUGGGCGUAAAGCGCGUGCAGGCGGUCUAGCAAGUUGGAUGUGAAAGCUCCUGGCUUAACUGGGAGAGGUCGUUCAAUACUGUUAGACUAGAGAAUGGGAGAGGGAGGUGGAAUUCCGGGUGUAGUGGUGAAAUGCGUAGAUAUCCGGAGGAACACCAGUGGCGAAAGCGGCCUCCUGGACCACUUCUGACGCUAAGACGCGAAAGCUAGGGUAGCAAACGG